CUUGCAUGGUUUGUUGUUCCACAUGUUGGCAAGGUAUCUACCCCUCAAAGCUUCACUCCUAUUUUCUGUGUUUGCUGUGGCAUUCGAAAGUUAAAACUUGAUGCCACUCUUUUGGACAGGAUCGUUCAAAAUUCUUCUUAUUUUAGUUUGCAAGCUCAGAUAGACAAACCUUAUAUUUGUGUUCAACAUAAUAGUGGAGAUAAUGUAAAAAACUGGCAAUACGGCCCUAACUAUGUUAUUGUUGACUCCUAUGAAAUGUAUGGAUAUGGUGACAUGCUUUAAGAAUUUUUGUUAAUCAUUUGCGGUAGACUCGAUCUUAGCAUCUGAACUUUGUGCAAUUGUGCAGCAAACUUCUGGAAAUUCAAAGAAAAGAUGGUGUAAAAAAACCUAUAUUGGAUGAUAAUCAAGUUGCUCACGUUCUGGACUACUUUGUUCCCUUCAUCAGCCUGAUUACUCAAUUUCUUGUCUCUUUUACCAGUCAGAUAAUCAAAUGGAGGAAUUGUGCCAACAUCAAGGUCAAUUAAUUUGCUUUACACAUGUGCAUUAUGAAUGGAACAUUGCUAACUAUACUGUAGCUGGUAAUAGCAUCUUCAAAUUUGUAAAGUUUGCCAGCAUAUUGGUUACAGUAAUUUCCUCCUGUAAAAAUAACCCUGAGUAAUAUGUAUGAACCCGUGACUAGAUGAGCUUGACAAACUGCUACCAUUGGCUGGAGCAGCUAUUCGGAGUAUUGCAGUGUAUAUUUCCUUCUAAUAGCUCGCUGGUUUGACUAGAAUUUUGAUAAAACAGUAGCAAUUCUUCUCGUAAAAUAUGACUAUCAAGAUGUGUAUAGUUCAUUAAGUUGACAAUCAGUAGGAAAUUCUACCAAGAUAAUUAACUUAUUGUCAGGGUACUCUGCUUUGAGAGGUAUGUAGUAAAUAUUGGCUCUUUGCUGUUGAAAUGGACAAUCUGAAAUACAGGUGAAAGCUUUCUUCUUCUGUAGCAUGAAAUGAAAGUUAUAUCUUUUUUAUUAUGUUUUAAAAAUUGCAAUACGUGGGAGAUGGAUGUGAAGUUGAGCCAGGUGACAAGAGGGGCACUGUAAAAUUUGUUGGCCAAGCUGAACCCCUUGGACAUGGAUUUUGGGUUGGAGUGCAAUACCAUGAGCCACUCGGAAAGCACGAUGGCAUGGUGAAAGGCGUCCGCUUCUAUGUGUGCCCUCAAGGGCAUGGAGCAAUUGUCCAGCCAGAGAAAGUAAAGCAUUAUUUGACAGUGUACUAUAUGUCACCCUUUGCCACCAUGACACUAGCUCUACCAGCAAUAUUGCUCGAAGGAGGCGUUGUAAUCAACUUGUUCUACACUCACGACCCCAUCUUUUCUAUGCUGAUUAUCAUCCUCGGCUCAGGGGUGCUCAACUUCUCCAUCUUCGACGUGAUCUGUUCAACCACAGGGUGCCCUUCAAUGUUACUGGCAAUCUUCAAAUGGUGUCUAGUGUCAACUUCAUACGAUCUUCCAUCAGAGCUUACGGUGCAAUCUGCAUGGUCAAAGCGAAGCCAUUGAUCAAGUCGAGUCCAAGGACCAUUGGAAGAGGAUUUCCCCCAUGCCAUUUGGCGUUCUACAAGAACAUUGUGCUCGGAAAUGACACUCCGGCCUCCUUCACUCCUGCAACCACAUGUACCAUGGCAUCAUCGUGCGCUUCUUACUACCACAUGUUUCCUGUAAAAAAUAAGUAGUAGAGUUGUGGUGUUGCUGCCUAUAACAUCUUUUCUGAUUCAGUGUGAUGCACUUGUUCUGCAGUGGUUAGUUUGGAGUAAGCAUUUUGAGUGGUGGGAUACUGACAGUGCUUAGUUUCAACAGUUUUGGUUUCUGUUCUACCAUGGUUGGCUGCCUCGCCAUGUGUACGAAUUCCAUAUUGGCAGAGUCCUUCAUGGGUGCACAUUUGACAGGUACAUGCACCGGUGCUUUAGCGGCUGGUGUGGUCUGGCAUAUACGUACAAUGUUAAAGCAUUUUAUAGGAUCGUCUUUCUUUCUAAAAUUAUUAGUUUCCUUUCGAGUUCGAGGGUCAAAAGAUUUAGUUAUUGCUGUAAUGUUCCUGCCAAAUUCAAUCUUUUAAUCUCUUGACUCGGUAAGAUAAUUUAUUAUGUGUUUUCCUUAUCUGCAACAUUAACAUGGCACCCUUUGCCGCCAUCAUACUGACUCUGCACACAUGACUCGAUCUUGUCUGUGCCGAUUAUCAUCCUAGACUCAAGGGUGCUUGC